rnacentral:rRNA from 1 species
AUUGAACGCUGGCGGCAGGCCUAACACAUGCAAGUCGAGCGAGCGGCGGACGGGUGAGUAAUGUAUGGGGACUGCCCCAUAGAGGGGGAUAACUCCUGGAAACGGUGGCGAAUACCGCGUACACUCGGAGAACACCUAUGGGAGUAGCUAGUGGGUAAGGUAAUGGCUUACCUAGGAGACGAUCCCUGGCUGGUCUGAGAGGAUGAUCAGCCACACUGGGACUGAGACACGGCCCAGACUCCUACGGAGGCAGCAGUGGGGAAUAUUGCACAAUGGGCGCAAGCCUGAUGCAGCCAUGCCGCGUGUAUGAAGAAGGCCCUAGGGUUGUAAAGUACUUUCAGUCGGGAGGCGUUACCGACAGAAGAAGCACCGGCUAACUCCGUGCCAGCAGCCGCGGUAAUAC